GCCUGGGUGGCUCAGUUGGUUGAGCAUCUGACUCCAGUUCAGGUCCUGAUCUCACAGUUCGUGAGUUCAAGCCCCACGUCAGGCU